rnacentral:tRNA from 1 species
GCCCCUGUAGUUCAAUGGAUAGAAUAAGACCCUUCUAAGGUUUAGAUGGGGGUUCGAUUCCUCCCAGGGGCA